rnacentral:lncRNA from 1 species
AAUCAGCGGCCUUGAAAGGCAAAGCUGAACCACUGCUGCUAAAUAUAAUUGUCGCUGUGACAGGUCCAUUGUGGUGAGAAAAUCUGUGCCUUUCAGAGCUGACUCUCUGUUAAAGAACCGUGGUAAAGCCAGAGCUGAGUGCCCAGCCUCCUGGCCAGCAUGGCAGUGGCUUUGAGGAGUGAAGGCCACUCCAUUAACCCUUCUCUCCAUUGCACAGAGCCCUGAUCCUGCCUCACAAGGAUGUCUUUGGCUGUGGCUGGUUUGUUUGCAUUGAGCUAUUCACUGAGAAACAGUGGGAUGUGUCUUCUGUGCACUUUGGCUGAGACUUCCCUCCAGCACAGCUCCUCACUGUGGGUGAUGGCAGCCAGCAGUGCUGAGCACAGCAUGCAGUCCUGCUUGAUGGGAAAUCCUUUCCCGGCCAUGAGGAAGGAAGAGGAGCAUUGCAGGGCUGCUCCGUUGUCUCCAGGACUCUGGAUUUUAGAGCCAUUUGCAGCUCCAACAGCACCCUGUCCUCUCCCCAUCCCAAAAGGUGCCACUUCAGCAUCCGCUUCCCAGCUCUUGGCAGUUACAUGAUGCUAAUUGAAAGGAACCAAAUGUUCUCUUUGGAAGUUCACUACAUCAGUGUUAAUCUUCUAUGUGGAGUAAUUUUAUUAAAGUCCCCCAAAGAGCAAAUUGUAAAUUCAUUUGAGCCUGUUUUGGUCUGCACUCUCCUUUAUUUUGGGUGGGGAAAAGAAAAAAAGAAAAGAAAAAAAGAUUAGAAGUCAUCUGGUCUCCAUGAUAAUUAAAAAGAAGAUGCUCAAACAUAGUUCUUAAUUAAACUGUAAUGAGAUAAGAACUCCACAGACUGCUUUUAGUCUGUUGGAAAGAUGCAGAGGUUCCCAUUGUAAUUAUGUGAUUUAUGAUCUUCCACGCAGAGAUGUAAUUAGGUUUUUUCACCUUUUUUUAAAAUUUAAACAAUAUUUAGAUAAAAAAUGACGCAGCAUUUUGAAUCUGCUUUUCCUGGAGGGACUGAAAAUCAUUUUGAAAUCAUUUUAGGUUUCAGCCUCAAAAAAAGUCCUCUGUAACUGUCAGGCAGCCAAGAGGUGAGAUGUAAAACACAGCCCUGGAGGUUGUGGGAUGCAGUGGGGUGGCAGCAGGAGGUGGGUCAGACACCUGAAGUCAACACAAAAACAUUUCCCUCUGCAUCCUGGGAGUGUUUGUGUUUGCAGGCAAUGCUGUGGACUAACACUGAUCCGUGAUGCUGAUGAGACCCAUAGUUGGUUUGUUUCUGCCCGAUCUUCUCUGAGGAAACAAGGAAAGUGCUCAGCAUGCUUCUACAUGAGAGGUCUCACCUGUGGAAUAAACAUC